UAAAAAACCUAAAAAGCUAUGAGAGAGAAAGAUCUAGAGGGAGCUAUAGCCUAUAGGCGAGGCCAUCUACACUAAUCUCCCUCCCCCUCCCCCAUAUGACAUUUCGUCGGAGACGGGCGAGGUCACAUUAUUCUUCCCGAUCUCCAGUUAGUUGUUGUUCCGUCCAUAGAUUAUAUUAAAUCGACUUUGUUAGAUUGUAUUGUUGUCGCUUCGCUCUUCUCAACUAGUUGUUUUGGAUCAUCGAUUUUAGAAACCGGUUCAUGGUUUUGUCACCAAUUCCUAAUAAAUUUCAGAGGAGCAUAAUUAUUUUGAAGGUUUUUUAGGGUUUAUCAAGGAUUCAUGGAUUGCAUAUUGAUCUAGAUGUUUAUCUUGAGAUGGGAGUAUGAAAUUAGAACAAGCCACCGAGCUCUCUCUUUGAGAAAUAUGUUGAAUUGUUCAUGCUGCUCUAAGAUCCAGAGGGAGGCAUCUCUAUUACUUGGACAAUUUGCUGCAACUGAUUCAGAUUGCAAGGUCUUUAAUAGAGUUAUGUUCUCUAUUACGAAGUAUUUUUUUGUAAAUUUGGAAUAAAAAACCAAGCAUAUCUACUUCAAUUUUUUUUUUUUAUAUAAUAAGGAAAGAAAGCUAGGAGGAUUACCUAGUUCACCCUUUCGGGUGACCCAUCCUUUUGGAUGAAAUACAUUGACUCCGAGCAAAUAAGAUUUAUCACAGAAUGUCUUAGCUAUGGUAAAAUUUGACACAAUAUUGUUUCUAGGUUCGGAUUAUUCAGAGAGGUGUUGUUCCGCCUUUGAUUGUAAUGCUCCAGUCCCCAGAUUUACAGCUGAGGGAAAUGUCAGCUUUAGCUUUGGGGAGGCUAUCACAGGAUGUAUGGUAGAUAAAAGGAUGGCCAGUAGGGCAUAGAUUGAAGUUCAUUUGCACUGAUUUUUAGACAAAUAAAUUGCGGAGUAAAUAUUAGAUAGGUUCUAGAUUGCCUGAACUAUUAGUUUUUUUAGGAUAUUCGUUAGUUAUCUUAAUUGAUGUAUUUAUAUUAUAACAAUGAUUUUUUUAUUAGAAUGAUUGUUACUUUGUUAUGGAUAUUUUAUUUUAAUAAUAAGUAAAACUUAAUUUGAAUUAAAUGCUUUCUUUUUGUGAUAGUUGGAUAUUUUAGUAUAAUAUUUUCAUUUUAAUGAGCUACUAAAUAAACGUGUAUCAAACAGUUGCUAUAAGCUCGCAUUAAAGUGUAUUUACACUAAUAUAAACCUGGUCCAUGCUAACUUAGCGUGGACCAGGGCAACGGAGAAAUUUGUAUGGGUAACCUAUGUAACUGUCACGUGACAGUUAUUUUGUAAUUUUAAAUAGUAACUAUAUGCGUAUUACAGUAACUAUGUGUUUUAAAGAGUAACUAUGUGUUUUGAAGAGUUUUAAUGCGAUUUGUGUCUAGCCCACUUUAUAUACAUUUUAAACUUUUUUAUUUUUUAAAAUUUCAGAUCUACAAUCUGUUCAUUCUCUUUCAUUUUCUCUCUCUUCAUUUUCUCUCUAUGCUUUUCAAAAUUUAGCCCGAAUUUCUAGGUUUUGUUCGAUUUUCUUCGUAAUUAUCUUAUAGUUCUUAUGAUUGGAUCUAUUAGAUGAGGAAAAAUUGGAGGAAGUAGUAGAUCAAGAAGGAGGUUCGUCGUUGCCGAAAUCGAAUCGAAGAAUUUGCGCUCGCCUACAAAUCUUCGCAAGAAUUUUUAGAGAUCACAUCUCGAAAUACAAAGAUGAUGCACUCAAAAUUGAAAUCGUGCAAAGAAUAAAUUCUGCAAGGAAAACAAAAGCAGGAGGAGAAGAAGAAAACCCUGACAACAAUGGAAACCAAGAACGUGGUAGAGGAAGCACAUGAUGUGUUGGUGGAAAAAAGAGACGUGGUCCACGUGGACGUGUCGAUUAGUAUUUUUUAGUUCAAAAAACAUUUGAGUUUAACAUGGUUUAUUUAAUAGAUGCAAAGAAUUAGAAUGUCGUAGCUAAAACAACUAACCAAGUAGUUAAUGUUUUCUUUAUUAUUGUUCAAGAGUUAUAAUUACUGUUACUUUUGAUAUAGUUACUCUUUUAUAUUUCAGUAAUUAUGUGAUAUAUAAUAGAAAAAAUUACUAUAUGACCUCUAAA